CCUACGGGAGGCAGCAGUGGGGGAUAUUGCACAAUGGAGGAAACUCUGAUGCAGCGACGCCGCGUGAGGGAAGACGGUCUUCGGAUUGUAAACCUCUGUCUUUGGGGAAGAAAAUGACGGUACCCAAAGAGGAAGCUCCGGCUAACUACGUGCCAGCAGCCGCGGUAAUACGUAGGGAGCGCGCGUUGUCCGGAAUUACGGGGGUUAAAGGGAGCGUAGGCGGGCGAUAAAGUUGAAUGUAAAAUCUAUCGGCUUAACUGUUAGGUGCGUUUAAAACUUCUUGUCUUGAGUGAAGUAGAGGCAUGCGGAAUUCCUGGUGUAGCGGUGAAAUGCGUAGAUAUCAGGAAGAACACCAGUGGCGAAGGCGGCCUGCUGGGCUUUAACUGACGCUGAGGCUCGAAAGCGUGGGGAGCAAACAGGAUUAGAUACCCUGGUAGUC
rnacentral:rRNA from 1 species